CGCUGGCGGUGUGGCCUAAUACAUGCAAGUCGAUCGGGCGUAGCAAUACGUCAGAGGCGUACGGGUGAGUAACACGUAGGGUAACCUACCUUUAAGACUGGGAUACCCAGACGAAAGUUUGGCUAAUACCGGAUAACAACAUUUUGAGACAUCUCUUUUGUUUGAAAGGCGCUGCAAGGCGCCACUUUUUAGAUGGACCUGCGUCGCAUUAGCUAGUUGGUGAGAUAAAAGCCCACCAAGGCUGGGAUGCGCAGCCGAUCUGAGAGGAUGACCGGCCACCAAUGGGACUGAGACACGGCCCAUACUCCUACGGGAGGCAGCAGUAGGGAGUUUUCGGCAAUGGGGGAAACCCUGACCGAGCAACACCGCGUGAGUGAUGAAAGGGUCUUCGGAUCGUAAAGCUCUGUUACGAGGGACGAAUGAUCGCUUUAGGAAAUGAGAGCGGUUUGACGGUACCUCGCCAGAAAGCGACGGCUAACUACGUGCCAGCAGCCGC
rnacentral:rRNA from 1 species